rnacentral:rRNA from 1 species
UACUCCUACGGGAGGCAGCAGUGGGGAAUAUUGGACAAUGGGCGCAAGCCUGAUCCAGCCAUACCGCGUGGGUGAAGAAGGCCUUCGGGUUGUAAAGCCCUUUUGUUGGGAAAGAAAUCCAGCUGGCUAAUACCCGGUUGGGAUGACGGUACCCAAAGAAUAAGCACCGGCUAACUUCGUGCCAGCAGCCGCGGUAAUACGAAGGGUGCAAGCGUUACUCGGAAUUACUGGGCGUAAAGCGUGCGUAGGUGGUCGUUUAAGUCCGUUGUGAAAGCCCUGGGCUCAACCUGGGAACUGCGGUGGAUACUGGACGACUAGAGUGUGGUAGAGGGUAGCGGAAUUCCUGGUGUAGCAGUGAAAUGCGUAGAGAUCAGGAGGAACAUCCAUGGCGAAGGCAGCUACCUGGACCAACACUGACACUGAGGCACGAAAGCGUGGGGAGCAAACAGGAUUAGAUACCCUGGUAGUCCACGCCCUAAACGAUGCGAACUGGAUGUUGGGUGCAAUUUGGCACGCAGUAUCGAAGCUAACGCGUUAAGUUCGCCGCCUGGGGAGUACGGUCGCAAGACUGAAACUCAAAGGAAUUGACGGA